GGGCCAGUAGCUCAGCGGUAGAGCAGGGGACUCUUAAUCCCUUGGUCGUGGGUUCGAAUCCCUCCUGGCUCA
rnacentral:tRNA from 3 species